rnacentral:rRNA from 1 species
AGUGAACGCUGGCGGUAGGCCUAACACAUGCAAGUCGAACGGCAGCACAGUAAGAGCUUGCUCUUACGGGUGGCGAGUGGCGGACGGGUGAGGAAUACAUCGGAAUCUACUUUUUCGUGGGGGAUAACGUAGGGAAACUUACGCUAAUACCGCAUACGACCUACGGGUGAAAGCAGGGGAUCUUCGGACCUUGCGCGAUUGAAUGAGCCGAUGUCGGAUUAGCUAGUUGGCGGGGUAAAGGCCCACCAAGGCGACGAUCCGUAGCUGGUCUGAGAGGAUGAUCGGCCAAGCUGGAGCUGAGACACGGGCCAGACUCCAACGGGAGGCAGCAGAGGGAAAUAUGGGACAAUGGGCGCAAGCCUGAUCCAGCCAUACCGCGGGGGUGAAGAAGGCCUUCGGGUUGUAAAGCCCUUUUGUUGGGAAAGAAAAGCAGCAGGUUAACACCCCGCUGUUCUGACGGUACCCAAAGAAUAAGCACCGGCUAACUUCGU